CUCGGCCUGACGGAGGGAGAGCGACACACAAACACACACACACACACACCGUCAAACAUCAGGGUCAAAUGAAAAAAAAGGAAACUUGUGAAACUGAAGCUCCACGGAUUCAACGAAAGGCAAAAUGUCACUGGAUGUCCGUCAGAGCGGAGCUGUGUUUGUGCAGACCGGCCACCAGAUGGCGUCCGUCUGUCCGGGGUCACUCACUCACUCACCUGAUGCAGGCACACGAGUGUGUACAGAGCUUCUCCUGCCGCCACCGUCAUCUCUGUGUUGUGUUUUUGCAGGACCAGCAUGUCAAACACCAACUGGGGAGUAAAAGAAGAC